UUCUCUGAUUCUUGAUUUUUGACGUGUUCUCUGGUAUGACGGUAUAAAUGUGGUCAUCAAAAGACAUAGGUGACUUAGG